GGAGGGUGCAAGCGUUGUCCGGAAUCACUGGGUGUAAAGGGUGUGUAGGCGGGGCGGCAAGUCAGAGGUGAAAUCCUACAGCUCAACUGUAGAACUGCCUCUGAUACUGCUGUUCUUGAGUUUCGGAGAGGUCACUAGAAUUCGUGGUGUAGCGGUGAAAUGCGCAGAUAUCACGAGGAAUACCAGAGGCGUAGGCGGGUGACUGGACGAAUACUGACGCUGAGGCACGAAAGCGUGGGGAGCAAACAGGAUUAGAUACCCUGGUAGUCCACGCCCGUAAACGAUGGAUGCUCGGUGUCGCGCCUUUUUUGGCGCGUUGCCCAAGCUAACGCGUUAAGCAUCCCCACCUGGGAGUACGCUCGCAAGAGUG
rnacentral:rRNA from 1 species